rnacentral:lncRNA from 1 species
AUGAAUAAAGUAGGUCCUUGUCCUCAAGUUACUCAGAGUCUUAUGGAGCAAAUUGCCAACAUCCGCUGGAUCAUGGAAAAAGCAAGAGAGUUCCAGAAAAACAUCGAUUUCUGCUUUAUUGACUAUGCCAAAGCCUUUGACUAUGUGGAUCACAAUCAACUGUGGAAAAUUCUGAAAGAGAUGGGAAUACCAGACCACCUAACCUGCCUCCUGAGAAAUCUGUAUGCAGGUCAGGAAGCAACAGUUAGAACUAGACAUGGAACAACAGACUGGUUCCAAAUAGGAAAAGGAGUACGUCAAGGCUGUAUAUUGUCACCCUGCUUAUUUCACUUCUAUGCAGAGUACAUCAUGAGAAACGCUGGACUGGAAGAAACACAAGCUGGAAUCAAGAUUGCUGGGGGAAAUAUCCAUAACCUCAGAUAUGCAGAUGACACCACCCUUAUGGAAGAAAGUGAAGAGGAACUAAAAAGCCUCUUGAUGAAAGUGAAAGAGGAGAGUGAAAAAGUUGGCUUAAGGCUCAACAUUCAGAAAACAAAGAUCAUGGCAUCAGGUCCCAUCGCUUCAUGGCAAAUAGAUCGGGAAACAGUGGAAACAGUGUCAGACUUUAUUUUUUGGGGCUCCAAAAUCACUGCAGAUGGUGACUGCAGCCAUGAAAUUAAAAGAUGCUUACUCCUUGGAAGAAGAGUUAUGACCAACCUAGACAGUAUAUUCAAAAGCAGAGACAUUACUUUGCCGACUAAGGUCUGUCUAGUCAAGGCUAUGGUUUUUCCUGUGGUCAUGUAUGGAUGUGAGAGUUGGACUGUGAAGAAGGCUGAGCGCCGAAGAAUUGAUGCUUUUGAACUAUGGUGUUGGAGAAGACUCUUGAGAGUCCCUUGGACUGCAAGGAGAUCUAACCAGUCCAUUCUGAAGCAGAUCAGCCCUGGGCGCUCUUUAGAAGGAAUGAUGCUAAACCUGAAACUCCAGUACUUUGGCCACCUCAUGAGAAGAGUUGACUCAUUGGAAAAGACUCUGAUGCUUGGAGGGAUUGGGGGCAGGAGGAGAAGGGGAUGA